rnacentral:rRNA from 1 species
GUGCCAGCAGCCGCGGUAAUACCGGCAGCCCGAGUGAUGGCCACUCUUAUUGGGCCUAAAGCGUCCGUAGCCGGCCUCGCAAGUCCGUCGGGAAAUCCACCCGCCCAACGGGUGGCCGUCCGGUGGAAACUACACGGCUUGGGACCGGAAGGCGCGACGGGUACGUCCAGGGUAGGAGUGAAAUCCCGUAAUCCUGGACGGACCGCCGAUGGCGAAAGCACGUCGCGAGAACGGAUCCGACAGUGAGGGACGAAAGCUAGGGUCUCGAACCGGAUUAGAUACCCUUGUAGUCC